rfam:Camelus ferus unplaced genomic scaffold scaffold210, whole genome shotgun sequence.
GAAGGUAACAGCUCAGUGGUAGAGUGCAUGCUUAGCAUGCAGGAGGUCCUGGGUUCAAUACCCAGUACUGCCA